UACGUAGGGGGCAAGCGUUGUCCGGAAUCAUUGGGCGUAAAGCGCGUGUAGGCGGCUAGGUAAGUCUGCUCUGAAAGCCCGGGGCUCAACCCCGGGAGGCGGGUGGAUACUGUCUAGCUCGAGUCCGGAAGAGGAGUGUGGAAUUCCUGGUGUAGCGGUGAAAUGCGCAGAUAUCAGGAGGAACACCAGCGGCGAAGGCGGCGCUCUGGGCCGGUACUGACACUGAGGAGCGAAAGCGUGGGUAGCAAACAGG
rnacentral:rRNA from 1 species